CAAGCUUCCACUUUGCUUUCUGUUUAUGGCAUUAAGCUGACUGCGGACACUGUUGUAUUCUGAAGCACGAACCUUCAUGUCAUCCUCAAUUUUGGCAACCAGAACAUGAAUGUUAUCCACAAUCUCCCUCAGAGGUGCCAUUGUGGGGUACUUAGCUUCAUCCCAUGCAAACCUAGUAAGGUAGGUAUCGACAGGCACCCCAUCCACCGUCAGACUGCCGCCGUCAAUACCCGA
rnacentral:misc_RNA from 1 species